GACGAACGCUGGCGGCGUGCUUAACACAUGCAAGUCGAACGGUGAAGCUCCAGCUUGCUGGAGUGGAUCAGUGGCGAACGGGUGAGUAACACGUGAGCAACCUGCCCCUGACUCUGGAAUAAGCGCUGGAAACGGCGUCUAAUACUGGAUACGAGAAGGGUCCGCAUGGGCACUUUCUGGAAAGUUCUUCGGUUGGGGAUGGGCUCGCGGCCUAUCAGCUUGUUGGUGAGGUAAUGGCUCACCAAGGCGACGACGGGUAGCCGGCCUGAGAGGGCGACCGGCCACCCUGGGACUGAGGGACGGCCCAGACUCCUACGGGAGGCAGCAGUGGGGAAUAUUGCACAAUGGGCGAAAGCCUGAUGCAGCGACGCCGCGUGAGGGAUGACGGCCUUCGGGUUGUAAACCUCUUUCAGCAGGGAAGAAGCGAAAGUGACGGUACCUGCAGAAGAAGCACCGGCUAACUACGUG
rnacentral:rRNA from 1 species